rnacentral:rRNA from 1 species
UUAAGUUAUUAAGGGCGCACGGUGGAUGCCUUGGCACUAGAAGCCGAUGAAGGACGUUACUAACGACGAUAUGCUUUGGGGAGCUGUAAGUAAGCUUUGAUCCAGAGAUUUCCGAAUGGGGAAACCCAGCAUGAGUUAUGUCAUGUUAUCGAUAUGUGAAUACAUAGCAUAUCAGAAGGCACACCCGGAGAACUGAAACAUCUUAGUACCCGGAGGAAGAGAAAGAAAAUUCGAUUCCCUUAGUAGCGGCGAGCGAAACGGGAAGAGCCCAAACCAACAAGCUUGCUUGUUGGGGUUGUAGGACACUCUAUACGGAGUUACAAAGGACGACAUUAGACGAAUCAUCUGGAAAGAUGAAUCAAAGAAGGUAAUAAUCCUGUAGUCGAAAAUGUUGUCUCUCUUGAGUGGAUCCUGAGUACGACGGAGCACGUGAAAUUCCGUAGGAAUUUGGGAGGACCAUCUCCUAAGGCUAAAUACUCUCUAGUGACCGAUAGCGAACCAGUACCGUGAGGGAAAGGUGAAAAGCACCCCGGAAGGGGAGUGAAAUAGAACCUGAAACCGUGUGCUUACAAGUAGUCAGAGCCCGUUAAUGGGUGAUGGCGUGCCUUUUGUAGAAUGAACCGGCGAGUUACGAUUUGAUGCAAGGUUAAGCAGUAAAUGUGGAGCCGUAGCGAAAGCGAGUCUGAAUAGGGCGUUUAGUAUUUGGUCGUAGACCCGAAACCAGGUGAUCUACCCUUGGUCAGGUUGAAGUUCAGGUAACACUGAAUGGAGGACCGAACCGACUUACGUUGAAAAGUGAGCGGAUGAACUGAGGGUAGCGGAGAAAUUCCAAUCGAACCUGGAGAUAGCUGGUUCUCUCCGAAAUAGCUUUAGGGCUAGCCUCAAGUGAUGAUUAUUGGAGGUAGAGCACUGUUUGGACGAGGGGCCCCUCUCGGGUUACCGAAUUCAGACAAACUCCGAAUGCCAAUUAAUUUAACUUGGGAGUCAGAACAUGGGUGAUAAGGUCCGUGUUCGAAAGGGAAACAGCCCAGACCACCAGCUAAGGUCCCAAAAUAUAUGUUAAGUGGAAAAGGAUGUGGCGUUGCCCAGACAACUAGGAUGUUGGCUUAGAAGCAGCCAUCAUUUAAAGAGUGCGUAAUAGCUCACUAGUCGAGUGACACUGCGCCGAAAAUGUACCGGGGCUAAACAUAUUACCGAAGCUGUGGAUUGUCCUUUGGACAAUGGUAGGAGAGCGUUCUAAGGGCGUUGAAGCAUGAUCGUAAGGACAUGUGGAGCGCUUAGAAGUGAGAAUGCCGGUGUGAGUAGCGAAAGACGGGUGAGAAUCCCGUCCACCGAUUGACUAAGGUUUCCAGAGGAAGGCUCGUCCGCUCUGGGUUAGUCGGGUCCUAAGCUGAGGCCGACAGGCGUAGGCGAUGGAUAACAGGUUGAUAUUCCUGUACCACCUAUAAUCGUUUUAAUCGAUGGGGGGACGCAGUAGGAUAGGCGAAGCGUGCGAUUGGAUUGCACGUCUAAGCAGUAAGGCUGAGUAUUAGGCAAAUCCGGUACUCAUUAAGGCUGAGCUGUGAUGGGGAGAAGACAUUGUGUCUUCGAGUCGUUGAUUUCACACUGCCGAGAAAAGCCUCUAGAUAGAAAAUAGGUGCCCGUACCGCAAACCGACACAGGUAGUCAAGAUGAGAAUUCUAAGGUGAGCGAGCGAACUCUCGUUAAGGAACUCGGCAAAAUGACCCCGUAACUUCGGGAGAAGGGGUGCUCUUUAGGGUUAACGCCCAGAAGAGCCGCAGUGAAUAGGCCCAAGCGACUGUUUAUCAAAAACACAGGUCUCUGCUAAACCGUAAGGUGAUGUAUAGGGGCUGACGCCUGCCCGGUGCUGGAAGGUUAAGAGGAGUGGUUAGCUUCUGCGAAGCUACGAAUCGAAGCCCCAGUAAACGGCGGCCGUAACUAUAACGGUCCUAAGGUAGCGAAAUUCCUUGUCGGGUAAGUUCCGACCCGCACGAAAGGCGUAACGAUUUGGGCACUGUCUCAACGAGAGACUCGGUGAAAUCAUAGUACCUGUGAAGAUGCAGGUUACCCGCGACAGGACGGAAAGACCCCGUGGAGCUUUACUGUAGCCUGAUAUUGAAAUUCGGCACAGCUUGUACAGGAUAGGUAGGAGCCUUUGAAACGUGAGCGCUAGCUUACGUGGAGGCGCUGGUGGGAUACUACCCUAGCUGUGUUGGCUUUCUAACCCGCACCACUUAUCGUGGUGGGAGACAGUGUCAGGCGGGCAGUUUGACUGGGGCGGUCGCCUCCUAAAAGGUAACGGAGGCGCUCAAAGGUUCCCUCAGAAUGGUUGGAAAUCAUUCAUAGAGUGUAAAGGCAUAAGGGAGCUUGACUGCGAGACCUACAAGUCGAGCAGGGUCGAAAGACGGACUUAGUGAUCCGGUGGUUCCGCAUGGAAGGGCCAUCGCUCAACGGAUAAAAGCUACCCCGGGGAUAACAGGCUUAUCUCCCCCAAGAGUUCACAUCGACGGGGAGGUUUGGCACCUCGAUGUCGGCUCAUCGCAUCCUGGGGCUGUAGUCGGUCCCAAGGGUUGGGCUGUUCGCCCAUUAAAGCGGUACGCGAGCUGGGUUCAGAACGUCGUGAGACAGUUCGGUCCCUAUCCGUCGUGGGCGUAGGAAAUUUGAGAGGAGCUGUCCUUAGUACGAGAGGACCGGGAUGGACAUACCUCUGGUGUACCAGUUGUCGUGCCAACGGCAUAGCUGGGUAGCUAUGUGUGGACGGGAUAAGUGCUGAAAGCAUCUAAGCAUGAACCCCCCCUCAAGAUGAGAUUUCCCAACUUCGGUUAUAAGAUCCCUCAAAGAUGAUGAGGUUAAUAGGUUCGAGGUGGAAGCAUGGUGACAUGUGGAGCUGACGAAUACUAAUCGAUCGAAGACUUAAUCAA